GAUGAACGCUGGCGGCGUGCCUAAUACAUGCAAGUCGAGCGAACAGACGAGGAGCUUGCUCCUCUGACGUUAGCGGCGGACGGGUGAGUAACACGUGGAUAACCUACCUAUAAGACUGGGAUAACUUCGGGAAACCGGAGCUAAUACCGGAUAAUAUAUUGAACCGCAUGGUUCAAUAGUGAAAGACGGUUUUGCUGUCACUUAUAGAUGGAUCCGCGCCGCAUUAGCUAGUUGGUAAGGUAACGGCUUACCAAGGCAACGAUGCGUAGCCGACCUGAGAGGGUGAUCGGCCACACUGGAACUGAGACACGGUCCAGACUCCUACGGGAGGCAGCAGUAGGGAAUCUUCCGCAAUGGGCGAAAGCCUGACGGAGCAACGCCGCGUAAGUGAUGAAGGUCUUCGGAUCGUAAAACUCUGUUAUUAGGGAAGAACAAAUGUGUAAGUAACUAUGCACGUCUUGACGGUACCUAAUCAGAAAGCCACGGCUAACUACGU
rnacentral:rRNA from 1 species